AUACAGUUCGACUUCAGUACGAGAUCUGAAUACUUGUUCCACCACUGAGGAGGGGAUGAUGGGAGAGAGGAGGUUGGGGUCGAGCGAGGGUUGGUUUGAGAGGAGAGAGAGAGAGAGCGAGAGAGAGAGAGCGAGGAGGGAGGGGGCUUUUAUUGUGGUAGAACGAGGCAGAGACAGACAGGGAGAGAGAGAGAGAGAGAGGAAUCUGUGUUUGAACUUGUGUUUUCAGUCUUUGCUGCUGAGAUUCACUUUCACACACACAUACACACACACACACACACACACACACACACAGAGUGAGCGACGGCGGGCGAGCGAGGACGACAUGCUCUGCUUAAAAGGAGCAGCAGGACAAACCUUGUCGGCCUGUUCAUGACACCAGAACUUAAACUGAAGAUAGAUGAGUCAGGUGACUGCAGCAUGACUCCCUGCACUCUAAACCAAUCAACCAAUCAGCCAAUCAUUAGAUCAAUAUGACUGAGACUCACACAGGAAGCAAGUACAGUUGUGAUGAUGGAGAGAAUUAGCUCCAGAGACCAAAAAGCUGUAAACACGUGUGUUUGUGCAGUUUAAUACGGAGCCUUAUGGAGACUCACUGCUGGAGCCUCCAGUGGCCGUUAGAGGAACUGCAGUCGGUGCAACAGUGCCGCUCAGUAAAGCUCACACAUAUAAUAAUGUUGUUCUGUGUUCGACCUCGUGUCGUCUGAUUCUGUGCUCCAGAUACAGAAUUACCCAGAGUGACACAGUAAUACAACAUGUGGUGUGUUGAGGUAAAUACCUGUCCCUCACAGGCCAUCUGCAGACCUGGAUAAUCCCUGUUAGCAGAUUAGAGCCGGAGAGAGGAGAGGAAACACAGCAGGCAACGCUUCAGAGGAAGUAUCACCCUUACUGUUGACGUGCUGUUGAACUAGAAUCAUUGUUUUGGGAAAUUUUUGCCUUCGUUGUUCGGUGGAAACAAAGUCUGAUGGUUUUAUUGUGAAGGAAUGAAGUUGCUCGCUGAAAGUUUGGCUGAAAAACCUUCAGCAGUGUCGACGUCUACGGGACAAAUCUGAAGUCUGCUUUACUCAUAUUUUGGACAUUUUUUUGAGAGAGAACUGAAACACUUUUGAGCUUUUGGACAUGCUUUUAUUGUGAAGGCUUUUCUUUGUCAACAGUUUGAGGCGUUUUCAGACGGACAUAAGUUUGUUUUUCUGAAGCAGAAUGUUUGUGAAUCUUUCUGUGGUUUUAUUGUGAAAAAUGUAAUUUAGGGAUUUAUUCAGAAGAUCUCUGGGCUUUUAUUGUGAAGGGUUUAAUAACUGCUGCUCCUUUUAGAGUAAAAAAGUGAAAACUUAGUUUUUUUUAAGGAAAGACCUUUUCUGGAAGGACUGAAUACUGUUUGGACUUUUAUUGUGAAAUUAAAUUGAAACAGGCUUUUAUGAUGAAAGGUUGGAAAUUCUUUGGGGCUUUUAUUGUGAAAAUAUGGUUACAGAGGGGAUAGUUUUUGUCGUUUUCAUCGUCUCUGAUCUGUCCUGAGGGCGCACAUCCAACAUC
rnacentral:lncRNA from 15 species